CUGCCGCUUCCCCGGGGCUCCGGCAGCAGAGCUCUGGUGGCAAAUUUAAAGGGCCUGGGGCUCUGGCGGCUGCUGGGAACCCCCAGGCCCUUUAAAUUGCCACCAAGGGAA